CACGUUAUCAUUAAAACGGCCGUGCACGCGUGCGUGUGCGAGCGAUGCGUGUUGUGUGUGCGUGUGUGUGUGUGUGGAAUACCUAGUAUAAUAUAUUAUUAUUCCAUACUGGCCAUAUUCAGAGGACGCGACCGCGCCGCGCAUUUUGUCGUCUCCGUGUCUUACGAAUUCGCGCACCGCGAAACUGUGCCGGUUUCAAAUGUUUCGGCGUUGGAGCCAGUGGCGGAUUCAAGGAGGGGCCAAGAGGGCCCGCCCCUCGCCCCUUGACAGUUUAAUUAUAAUUGUGUAGUUGUAAUAAUAUGAGUAAUGAAUAAUGAUUGUUAUAAAUCGUCGUU